rnacentral:rRNA from 1 species
UACGAAGGGGGGUAGCGUUGCUCGGAAUCACUGGGCGUAAAGCGCACGUAGGCGGAUUGUUAAGUCAGGGGUGAAAUCCUGGAGCUCAACUCCAGAACUGCCUUUGAUACUGGCGAUCUCGAGUCCGGGAGAGGUGAGUGGAACUGCGAGUGUAGAGGUGAAAUUCGUAGAUAUUCGCAAGAACACCAGUGGCGAAGGCGGCUCACUGGCCCGGUACUGACGCUGAGGUGCGAAAGCGUGGGGAGCAAACAGG